rnacentral:rRNA from 1 species
AACAGGAUUAGAUACCCUGGUAGUCCACGCCGUAAACGAUGUCGACUUGGAGGUUGUUCCCUUGAGGAGUGGCUUCCGGAGCUAACGCGUUAAGUCGACCGCCUGGGGAGUACGGCCGCAAGGUUAAAACUCAAAUGAAUUGACGGGGGCCCGCACAAGCGGUGGAGCAUGUGGUUUAAUUCGAUGCAACGCGAAGAACCUUACCUACUCUUGACAUCCAGAGAACUUAGCAGAGAUGCUUUGGUGCCUUCGGGAACUCUGAGACAGGUGCUGCAUGGCUGUCGUCAGCUCGUGUUGUGAAAUGUUGGGUUAAGUCCCGCAACGAGCGCAACCCUUAUCCUUUGUUGCCAGCGAUUCGGUCGGGAACUCAAAGGAGACUGCCGGUGAUAAACCGGAGGAAGGUGGGGAUGACGUCAAGUCAUCAUGGCCCUUACGAGUAGGGCUACACACGUGCUACAAUGGCGCAUACAAAGAGAAGCGACCUCGCGAGAGCAAGCGGACCUCAUAAAGUGCGUCGUAGUCCGGAUCGGAGUCUGCAACUCGACUCCGUGAAGUCGGAAUCGCUAGUAAUCGUGGAUCAGAAUGCCACGGUGAAUACGUUCCCGGGCCUUGUACACACCGCCCGUCACACCAUGGGAGUGGGUUGCAAAAGAAGUAGGUAGCUUAACCCUUCGGAGGGCGCUUACCACUUUGUGAUUCAUGACUGGGGUGAAGUCGUAAC